rnacentral:rRNA from 1 species
AUUGAACGCUGGCGGCAGGCCUAACACAUGCAAGUCGAGCGGAUGAAGGGAGCUUGCUCCUGGAUUCAGCGGCGGGCGGGUGAGUAAUGCCUAGGAAUCUGCCUGGUAGUGGGGGAUAACGUCCGGAAACGGGCGCUAAUACCGCAUACGUCCUGAGGGAGAAAGUGGGGGAUCUUCGGACCUCACGCUAUCAGAUAAGCCUAGGUCGGAUUAGCUAGUUGGUGGGGUAAAGGCCUACCAAGGCGACGAUCCGUAACUGGUCUGAGAGGAUGAUCAGUCACACUGGAACUGAGACACGGUCCAGACUCCUACGGGAGGCAGCAGUGGGGAAUAUUGGACAAUGGGCGAAAGCCUGAUCCAGCCAUGCCGCGUGUGUGAAGAAGGUCUUCGGAUUGUAAAGCACUUUAAGUUGGGAGGAAGGGCAGUAAGUUAAUACCUUGCUGUUUUGACGUUACCAACAGAAUAAGCACCGGCUAACUUCGUG